GAUGAACGCUAGCGGCAGGCUUAACACAUGCAAGUCGAGGGGCAGCUACGAGGUAGCUAAUACUUUGGUGGCGACCGGCGCACGGGUGCGUAACGCGUAUGGCAACCUACCUUUAACAGGGGCAUAACACUGAGAAAUUGGGUACUAAUUCCCCAUAACAUUCGAGAAGGCAUCUUCUUAGGGUUAAAACUCCGGUGGUUAAACGAUGGGCAUGCGUUAGUAUUAGCUAGUUGGUGAGGUAACGGCUCACCAAGGC
rnacentral:rRNA from 1 species